AUGCCAAUUGAAUAUGUUUCACUAAUCUUGGUAACUAAAAAAAAAAAAAAACAGCACGGGCAACGAGAGAUGCCUGUGGUUUGCAAGGGGUGGGGAGAGGCUGUGGCCUCCCCUUCACCGCUCCGGCGAUGCCCGGCGAGGCAGAACCAUUAGCAAUGACUGGCGAGGCGUCGCCGGAGCAAUGGAGGGGGAGGCAGUCGCUGCCCUGACUCACAACCCAGAUCUAAAACAAGAAUAAUGAAAAUAAUGAGAUAAACUGGGCAGUGGCUCGGUUCAGGUUUAGCCUUAACAACUUAUCCCCCCCUCCAGCAACACCUUGUCCUCAAGGCGUGAAAUCUUGAAACUUCUUUUUGAUAUCUUCCGCCAGUUCCCAUGUUGCAGGGAUAUCAUCAUUUUGAAUCCAUUGAAUUAGCCACUCCUCCCCUCUCUUUCUUUAUUUUUUAUCCUUCUGGUCCCUAGUCGUCUGUAGGGACACAUGGAAGGUUGUCCCUCAAGGAUUGGAACUGUAUUCGCUUGUUCUUUUGCAAUAGAAGCUGGCAAGGUUUUAGCUUGAAGACAUGAAAAACUAGGUGUAUUGCGCUGCCCUCUGGGAACUGUAGUUCGUAAGCAAGUGCCCCCACGCUCCACUGUAUUUGGUAGGGCUCAUUGUAGCGUGGGGCAAGCUUGUUAUAUUCCUUGGGCAGGCAGAACCCUGCUCCCUGUGCUGGUCUGUGCAAAUAUACCCAAUCACCAACCUUAUAUUGGUAUUCCUUAUGUUUGCGAUUGUAUUGUAACACCAUCCGGUUACAGGUAGCUCCCAAAUGUUGUUUUAAGUCUUUCAACACAGUGUCCCGAUACCUAAGUUGUAGAUCGACUUCUUCCUCUCUUGCUGAUCCUGGUUGGUACUUUCUGAUGUACGGAGGAGGUCUCCUAUAGUUUGCCUUAAAUGGAGAUAUCACUCAUGAAGAGUACCAAUGGGUGGUGUAUGCCAAUUCCGCCCAAGAGAGGUAAUCAGCCCAAGUCAUUGCCCUGCAAAACAACGCAAGCGCUCUACCAUCACCAUGAUCAUUGAUUUUCCUUGCAAGAGCGGAAGCCCUUCAACAGAGAUCGCAGAAAGAUCUUCCCAAAUCUGCUCUGGAAUGGGCAAGGGUUGCAGCAGCCCAACCUGCUUCAUCGUCUCAUACUUAUUGUGUUGCACACAUCGUAGCUCUUUAUGUAUUCUCGAUUGGCCCUUUUCAUGCCAUACCAAAAGAAGGUGGGAUGAAUCCUGCGAUAGGUCCCUUCAGCCGUUUCAUGGACUGAUGAAUUCUCAUUAUGGAAUGGUCUAUGAGGGCAGCAGAUAGGUCUGUUUCUGGAUAAAUAAAUAUGCUCCUAUUGCAAGUAAAGGGGCUUUCCAUUCA